UGGGGAAUAUUGGACAAUGGGCGAAAGCCUGAUCCAGCCAUGCCGCGUGAGUGACGAAGGCCUUAGGGUUGUAAAACUCUUUCGUCGGGGACGAUAAUGACGGUACCCGAAGAAGAAGCUCCGGCUAACUUCGUGCCAGCAGCCGCGGUAAUACGAAGGGAGCUAGCGUUGUUCGGAAUCACUGGGCGUAAAGCGCACGUAGGCGGAUAGUUAAGUCAGGGGUGAAAUCCUGGGGCUCAACCCCAGAACUGCCUUUGAUACUGGCUGUCUCGAGGUCGAGAGAGGUUGGUGGAAUUCCUAGUGUAGAGGUGAAAAUUCGUAGAUAUUAGGAAGAACACCAGUGGCGAAGGCGGCCAACUGGCUCGAUACUGACGCUGAGGUGCGAAAGCGUGGGGAGCAAACAGGAUUAGAUACCCAAGUAGUCCCUGAGCGGGCUGGCAAGGCGCAU
rnacentral:rRNA from 1 species